AAUAUGUGUUGAGAUGGAUCAUCACUUUGGUGACACAAAUAAGGAGGUACUUUCUUGUUUCUCAUGUCUUGAUCCCAAGGAUUCUUUCUCCAAGUUCAAUGUAGAGAAGCUUUGUCGUCUUGCUGAAAUUUACAGUGAAGAUUUCUCUAAUGAUGAUCGUACAAUAUUGAGGGAUCAACUUGAGACUUACGUUCUUCAUUUGAGAAAUCAUGCUGCCUUUUCGACUUGCAAUGAUUUUGAAAGUUUGGCUGCAAAAAUGGUAGAAACGGAGAAACACUUGGUAUUUCCAUUGGUUUACAAGCUCAUUGAGUUAGCUUUGUUAUUACCGGUGUCAACGACAUUUGUUGAGAGAGCUUUCUCGGCAAUGAAAAUUAUCAAGUCUAAGUUGCGCAAUAAGAUAAAUGAUGAUUGGUUUAAUCACUUGAUGAUAUGCUACACUGAGCGGGAGAUAUUUAAAUCACUUGAUGAUGUAGUAAUUAUUCGACGGUUUCAAGCCUUCAAGAAUCGUAAAGGGAUUUUGCCGAGGCGUCAUUAGUAUUUGAAAGGCAGGGACUCUUGAAAGGUUUCAUUGUGGGCGUCUAAAUUAGUGAGCAUUUGGAUAUCUAGAAUUUUGUUUGUCUAGUGAACAAUUAUUUUAGCUUUUGUGUUUCCAAACAACUAUGACAUAUGGUUCUCAA